rnacentral:rRNA from 2 species
UACAUUUGAGUGAGUGGCGAACUGGUGAGUAACACGUGGGAAACCUGCCCAGAAGCGGGGGAUAACACCUGGAAACAGAUGCUAAUACCGCAUAACAACUUGGACCGCAUGGUCCGAGUUUGAAAGAUGGCUUCGGCUAUCACUUUUGGAUGGUCCCGCGGCGUAUUAGCUAGAUGGUGGGGUAACGGCUCACCAUGGCAAUGAUACGUAGCCGACCUGAGAGGGUAAUCGGCCACAUUGGGACUGAGACACGGCCCAAACUCCUACGGGAGGCAGCAGUAGGGAAUCUUCCACAAUGGACGAAAGUCUGAUGGAGCAACGCCGCGUGAGUGAAGAAGGGUUUCGGCUCGUAAAACUCUGUUGUUAAAGAAGAACAUAUCUGAGAGUAACUGUUCAGGUAUUGACGGUAUUUAACCAGAAAGCCACGGCUAACUACGUGCCAGCAGCCGCGGUAAUACGUAGGUGGCAAGCGUUGUCCGGAUUUAUUGGGCGUAAAGCGAGCGCAGGCGGUUUUUUAAGUCUGAUGUGAAAGCCUUCGGCUCAACCGAAGAAGUGCAUCGGAAACUGGGAAACUUGAGUGCAGAAGAGGACAGUGGAACUCCAUGUGUAGCGGUGAAAUGCGUAGAUAUAUGGAAGAACACCAGUGGCGAAGGCGGCUGUCUGGUCUGUAACUGACGCUGAGGCUCGAAAGUAUGGGUAGCAAACAGGAUUAGAUACCCUGGUAGUCCAUACCGUAAACGAUGAAUGCUAAGUGUUGGAGGGUUUCCGCCCUU